rnacentral:rRNA from 1 species
GACGUAGGGUCCAAGCGUUAUUCUGAUUCACUGGGCGUAAAGGGUGCGUAGGCGGCUAUAUAAGUCAGUGGUGAAAGCUUCCCGCUCAACGGGAAAACUGCCAUUGAAACUGCAUAGCUUGAAUAUGGUUGAAGUGGAUGGAAUAUAUCAUGUAGCGGUGAAAUGCUUAGAUAUGAUGUAGAACACCGAUUGCGAAGGCAGUUCACUAAGCCAUCAUUGACGCUGAGGCACGAAAGCGUGGGUAGCGAACAGG